rnacentral:rRNA from 1 species
CGAACGGGUGAGUAACGCGUGAGGAACCUGCCUCAAAGAGGGGGACAACAGUUGGAAACGACUGCUAAUACCGCAUAAGCCCACGGCUCGGCAUCGAGCAGAGGGAAAAGGAGCAAUCCGCUUUGAGAUGGCCUCGCGUCCGAUUAGCUAGUUGGUGAGGUAACGGCCCACCAAGGCGACGAUCGGUAGCCGGACUGGGAGGUUGAACGGCCACAUUGGGACUGAGACACGGUCCAA